AUUAUCGUCUAGUGUACAUAAUAAAACUGCAACGAUAGAGAGAGGAUUAGCUUGGCCUCUGUACAAGGAUGAUACCGAAUACCAUGAAGUCAACACUUUU
rnacentral:snRNA from 1 species